GGUGCAUGGUUGUCGUCAGCUCGUGUCGUGAGAUGUUGGGUUAAGUCCCGCAACGAGCGCAACCCUCGCCUCUAGUUGCCAGCAUUCGGUUGGGCACUCUAGAGGGACUGCCGGCGACAAGUCGGAGGAAGGUGGGAUGACGUCAAAUCAUCAUGCCCCUUAUGACCUGGGCUACACACGUGCUACAAUGGGCGGUACAAAGGGCUGCGAACCCGCGAGGGGGAGCGAAUCCCAAAAAGCCGCUCUCAGUUCGGAUUGCAGGCUGCAACUCGCCUGCAUGAAGCCGGAAUCGCUAGUAAUCGCGGAUCAGCAUGCCGCGGUGAAUACGUUCCCGGGCCUU
rnacentral:rRNA from 1 species